UAUCAGCUUUCGACGGUAUGGUAUUGGCUUACCGUGGCAGUGACGGUUAACGGGGGAUUAGGGUUCGAUUCCGGAGAGGGAGCCUGAGAAACGGCUACCACAUCUAAGGAAGGCAGCAGGCGCGCAAAUUACCCAAUUCUAACAGUUUAAGAGAGGUAGUAACAAGAAAUAACAAUACAAGGCAGUUAAAAUGCUUUGUAAUUGGAAUGAUAGAAAUUUAAACCCUUUUUAAAGUAUCAAUUGGAGGGCAAGUCUGGUGCCAGCAGCCGCGGUAAUUCCAGCUCCAAUAGCGUAUAUUAAAAUUGUUGCAGUUAAAAAGCUCGUAGUUGAAGUUCUGCUAAAAGUAACUGGUCUGCUUUUAAUAAAAGUGGUAUCUUGGUGUGUAUUUAGCAAUGAUGUCCUUUGAAGUGUUUUUUACUUUAUUGUAACAAAGCAUAUUCAGGACUUUUACUUUGAGAAAAUUAGAGUGUUUCUAGCAGGCUGACGCUUUGAAUACUGCAGCAUGGAAUAAUAAGAUAGGAUUUUAGUUCUACUUUAUUGGUUUUAAGAACUAAAUUAAUGAUUGAUAGGGACAGUUGGGGGCAUUUGUAUUUAACUGUCAGAGGUGAAAUUCUUAGAUUUG
rnacentral:rRNA from 1 species